rnacentral:lncRNA from 1 species
GACCACCUUAGGUCUCGCUGGGGCCUCGGGUAGGGCCUGGUGUUGCUGGCCUGGAAGGAAUUGGGCCACCCUGUCUUGGGGCCCCCAGCCCCCAGCCUCGCCCCUGAGCAGGCCCAGCGACCGGUUGGCUGAGAAGUUGGCAAAAGUUUUGGGGUUUCACUGCAGCCACCAGGUCCACUUGUCCGCCGGGCAGGUACCGGAGGACAGAAUACGGAGGCCGAGAGCGCUGAGUGACCUGUGGAGCCAUGACAGGCUGAGCCAGGAUCUGAACGAAAGCAGGUUCAGGCUCGGGAUCCAUUUCAGGCCGUUUCUGUGUUUUGCUGGAGGAAGCUGUCAGGCAUUCUCCUGUCAAUGUGGCUGCCCAGUUGUUGAAAGACUGUGCCGUCACCGCUGAGUUGUCUCGGCGCCCUGGUAAUGUCAUCUGACUAUGAGGGUGUAUUUUUUAAAAAAAACUUAUUAUUA